UCGAAGAAGAGGAAUACACAGGCACGGCAGACCAAGCGAAGGGAAUUGGUGAAAACGUCGUACAAGGCAGGCAGCCUGACACACGUCAUGACAAUGAAUUAGGCAAGGAGUAGAAGAGAGCCUCCCGGUAGAGGAAAUGAGGUAACACUGGCAGGGACCAGCAAUCACCCGGCUCGGCAGGAAGUGGAAAGAAGAUUAGUGUGUGGGGAGCAAGAGAUGGGAAGUUGGAGAGGGUGUGGCUGCCUGGAACAGCAAGACUCUCCCUGGGAGCCCUUGGGCCUCAGCCCUAAGAGGAAGGAGCAGUAGAGUCAUCCUCCUGUGGUUCUCCUCUUGAGCUUCUGCCUCCAGUGUUUCUGUGCAGCUUGUCAGGAGAAAGUGGAAGCGCCAAGGCUGAAAAGUCAGGCCUCAACUCUAUGUCAGAGCCUCCAACGAAGCCUGACAAGAAAUCGUCUAUGCCGAGAAGUUAAUUUGCAUGUAUUAUAUGCCACUGCUGAACCCAGGACAAUAAUGUCACCUGCAGAGGCUCUCAAAACCUUGGAUUCAAAGGAUCUUCCUGCCUCAGCCUCCAAAAUUGUUGUUAUACAAUAAAAUUCUACCACACCUCC